rnacentral:rRNA from 1 species
GACGAACGCUGGCGGCGUGCUUAACACAUGCAAGUCGAACGGUAAGGCCCUUCGGGGUACACGAGUGGCGAACGGGUGAGUAACACGUGGGUGAUCUGCCCUGCACUUCGGGAUAAGCCUGGGAAACUGGGUCUAAUACCGGAUAGGACCACUGCCUGCAUGGGUGGUGGUGGAAAGCUUUUGCGGUGUGGGAUGGGCCCGCGGCCUAUCAGCUUGUUGGUGGGGUGAUGGCCUACCAAGGCGACGACGGGUAGGCGGCCUGAGAGGGUGACCGGCCACACUGGGACUUAGAUACGGCCCAGACUCCUACCGGAGGCAGCAGGGGGGAAUAUUGAACAAUGGGCGCAAGCCUGGUGCAGCGACGCCGCGUGAGGGAUGACGGCCUUCGGGUUGUAAACCUCUUUCAGCACCGACGAAGCGCAAGUGACGGUAGGUGCAGAAGAAGGACCGGCCAACUACGUGCCAGCCGCCACCGUAA